UAGGUUGAAGCCCACUGGCUUGGGUGUUUAGUUGUUAACUAGAAUUUUACGGGAUCGAAGCCCGUCAGCCUAGU
rnacentral:tRNA from 1 species